rnacentral:rRNA from 1 species
CCUACGGGCGGCAGCAGUGGGGAAUAUUGGACAAUGGGGGGAACCCUGAUCCAGCCAUGCCGCGUGUGUGAAGAAGGCCCUCGGGUUGUAAAGCACUUUCAGUGAGGAAGAACGCCUGGUGGUUAAUACCCAUCAGGAAAGACAUCACUCACAGAAGAAGCACCGGCUAACUCCGUGCCAGCAGCCGCGGUAAUACGGAGGGUGCGAGCGUUAAUCGGAAUUACUGGGCGUAAAGCGCGCGUAGGUGGCUUGAUAAGCCGGUUGUGAAAGCCCCGGGCUCAACCUGGGAACGGCAUCCGGAACUGUCAAGCUAGAGUGCAGGAGGGGAAGGUAGAAUUCCCGGUGUAGCGGUGAAAUGCGUAGAGAUCGGGAGGAAUACCAGUGGCGAAGGCGGCCUUCUGGACUGAAACUGACACUGAGGUGCGAAAGCGUGGGUAGCAAACAGGAUUAGAUACCCUAGUAGUC